GUCUCAGGCCGUAUCAGCCUGAAGGCGCCCGAUCUCGUCUGAUCUCGGAAGCUAAGCAGGGUCGGGCCUGGUUAGGAUCUUGGAUGGGAGACCACCUGGGAAUCCUGGGUGCUCGAGGCU
rnacentral:rRNA from 1 species